GUGUUUGCUUUGGCGGCACAUAUACUAAAAUUGGAAUGAUACAGAGAAGAUUAGCACGGCCCCUGCGCAAGGAUGACAUGUAAAUUCAAAAUGUUUUCCAUAUUUUC